CAGCAGCCGCGGGAAUACGAAGGGUGCAAGCGUUAAUCGGAAUUACUGGGCGUAAAGCGUGCGUAGGCGGUGAGUUAAGUCUGCUGUGAAAUCCCCGGGCUCAACCUGGGAAUGGCAGUGGAUACUGGCUCGCUAGAGUGUGUCAGAGGAUGGUGGAAUUUCCGGUGUAGCAGUGAAAUGCGUAGAGAUCGGAAGGAACAUCUGUGGCGAAGGCGACUAUCUGGGCCAACACUGACACUGAGGCACGAAAGCGUGGGGAGCAAACAGGAUUAGAUACCCGGGUAGUCCCUGUCUCUUAUAC
rnacentral:rRNA from 1 species